UUACGGUCAUAUCACGUUGAAACAUCGGUUCCCGUACAAUCACCGAAGUUAAGCAACGUCCAGCCUGGUCGGUACGUAGAAGGGUGACUUGUUGUGUAUACCAGGUGCUGUAAG